rnacentral:lncRNA from 1 species
GAGUGACAUCUGAGAUUCAUCUUCUGUACCCGUGAACCUGACUCCCAGGACAACCCUUAGGAGGUUUGGACUUUUGACAUUAGUGAGUUAAUUCUUAACCAGAUUCUGAAGAAUUUCCGGGCCAAACAGGCUUGAAUGUACGGUUUUUCCAAUUUGGGGGAUGGGAGUGGGGAAGCUCUUCCUGGGACAGACUCCCAGGCAAGGAAAGGCCCCAGCAGCUCUGUCCCCUACCCUGGGCUCUGCCUCCGUCUCCCCACAAGAAACUUGUGGGCUGCCUGGGGCUCGUCAGCAGCCUGCACAGGCUCUCACUCUCUUUCCCACUCACUAUGCUUGGCUUUUUCUUCCACUUAUGACUAUCUCUCCCUUUCUCCAACACCCAGUGUUGUGGGGCAAGCUGUAAUUAUCUCACGUGUGUGAAAAUGUGCCCUAACCACUUUCAUCAUCUGAGCUAAAACCAGAUCACUUGUUUCACUUUUCCUCACAAAUAUUAACAAUGCAGGAAUUGGGUCCCAGUGAAUCUUCGACAUGAAGUUGAAGCUUCAGGAAGUGAAGCAGAGUCUAGCUCCGCAGCUUCAACCUUCUCCUCUACCCCUUCCUUUUUUCUGUCUGUCUUGGUAGGGCUUGAUUAGAGAAGCAUGAGUGUUGAGGCCUCCUUUGUGUGCCUUGGGACAACAGGUAGGUGCUGUCACUGAUCCUGCAGACUGUUCAGCAACAGCCCCUUUGGAUUUCUGGAUAUUCUGGAAACAAAGUCAGAACAGUGGCCUAUUGGGGGGUUGGCAGAGGGGUAUGACUAGUCCCUUAGCCAACUUGUCCCAGCCACCCGGCCUGCAUCUGAACUUGCCCUUCUUCCUCCUUCUCGCCAGCUUAACAGUCAUGCAGGGAUGGGGUAAAAUGACAAGCUUUUAUCUACUUUAAACAGUCAUGCCACACUGCCAACACAGUUUUCAAAGCAUCAAGAUAUCUUUUCUUCCUUUCUUCUUCUCAAGCCUGUAAUUAAACUCCUGGUGACAGAGUGGUAGAGGAAGGAGAUCGGGGAGCAUGACUUGAGGAAUAAACAGCUCCUUAGCUGCCCUCAGAACCGAGGCAGCCAAGGAAUGUGAGCGCCUGUCAGCCUACGACCUUUCAGGAGAAUACAGCAAAUCAUCUGACUCCAGUAACAUCCUCUUCCUCCCCCAAGAUCACUGUUCUGCUGCACACCCACACUGCUUGCAUCUGUUGAGUGUUGGCUUCCGCCCCAGUGCCUGCCACCUUCACGUGAAGGCUCUGGCUUUAGCACGCUAGCUCCACUCCCAAACCUAACCUCCGCCGAAUUCUCUGCAGGAUUGACCACUGGGUCCACGUGUGACUGAGAGAUGUGAGAAGCUCAGCAGAUGGGCAGGGAUGACUCAUUCAUCAUACUAAUGUGAUUCAACAAAGAAAGGCAUGUUUUCUCUUCCAAAUAUGCCGUGUGUUCAAGUCUGAGAUGCUCCAGGAUUCACAAAGUUCCCACAGCAGGGGCUCCCGUUCACUCUGGGGGCACCUGCCACAGCAGCUCCCAUUAGCGCACGAAGGAUACCACGCUGGUGGCUACCGCAAACGGGGCGGAGUAGAAUGCAGCGAAGCCUUGCAGGCCGAUGACCACAUAGCGGCAUCCUUUGAUGAUGACCUUCCCAACA